rnacentral:misc_RNA from 1 species
AACGGUCUAUACCUGCGGUACCUGCGGAGGGAUCAUUACCGAGUUCGGGGCUCUGCUCCAACUCCCACCCUUGUUUACCAAGUGUUGCUUCGGCGAGACGUUGGAAAGCAACCAUCGGUGAUUUUGUCACAAAUGAACCGAUGCACGCUCGCCGGACUCCAAAUACUCUAGACUAUGUACCGUCAGAUGAAACAAGCAAUGAAUAAAAACUUUCAACAAUGGAUCUCUAGAUCGGAAGAG